AGAAAACCUAAGGGCAGAUGUGGCCAGGUUGUAACUGGGUUCAGCAGACCAGCACCUGCAGAGGAAGCCACAGACUUCCCUGUCCCUUCUGCUCCAGGCCGUGACACAAGCAGGUAAUCCAGUGACACUGAGCCUGUGAGUGCAAUGGGACUUUUACCCCUGGGAUCACUAUUGCAUAAACACAACUGCCAACAUCUAAGGGAUAACUGCCCUGACUGUCAAGGAAACAACACUGAAAUGAGUGAUUUGGAGGAAUUGCACAUGUGUUCUGAGCUAUUAAUUUGUCUGCACAAUGACAAAGCUAGAAAGUCUAGGGGCCAAGAACAGAAACCAAAACCACUCUCCAAAAAUGCUGCGUGAUUUUCCAGCUAAGCUAAUGACAGAUCUGAAGAAGUGUCAACACUGCAACCAAAAAAGCUUGAAGCAGCAGGAAUGUCGUUCACAGGGGAGAUUGGAGUCAUAGCAAAUACACUUUUCAAGGUUGCUUACUCCUGACUAACAGCAUG